GACAGAGGGUGCAAGCGUUGUUCGGAAUUAUUGGGCGUAAAGAGCACGUAGGCGGCAUAGCAAGUCAGACGUGAAAGCCCGGAGCUCAACUCCGGAAGUGCAUCUGAAACUGCUAUGCUUGAGUCCCGGAGAGGGUGGUGGAAUUCCCAGUGUAGAGGUGAAAUUCGUAGAUAUUGGGAGGAACAUCGGUGGCGAAGGCGGCCACCUGGACGGUGACUGACGCUGAGGUGCGAAAGCGUGGGUAGCAAACAGG
rnacentral:rRNA from 1 species